rfam:Aedes albopictus isolate Foshan contig46406, whole genome shotgun sequence.
GGCUUGGUGGUGUAGUGGCUACCGCUUCUGAUUCAUAUGCAGAAGGUCCUGGGUUAAAUCCCUAGCCCGUCCC